UUGUCAAGUGGCCAGUGCCACUGUUGUGUUUACAUGAAGAGGAUGCCAUCACAAUGGAAGUCAGAUGGUGGUGAAACCUUUUAAGCUGGGUAACUAUCCUGAAGGCAAACAGAAUCAUAAUUCUAAGCUCAUUAAUAAGCUCAGCAUGACACCUCCAUUAGUUCUCAUACAACAGACUGCUGGUGCAAAUUGACCCAGUAAACACAAAAUUUCCCCAAAUGGCUUUGCUUGACCGUUUUAUUGCCAAUAAAUGAGCUUGAAUUUAGUUGAAUGUAAUGGAUGUACACGCUCGUUGUACCUGUUCCUCUAAAACCGUUCACAGCCAUAUCAGCAGACGUGCAGGGGUCCACCUGAUUUAAUAACACAAGUAGAGAGGAAGAAGUGACAAUACAUGCCAAUUCAUUUUCUGUGUUCAAAUGUGGCCUUUGAUUCCAGCCACUAAUUAAUACGGAGUAUCCUUGCGGCUGAAUGGUCUCCUCCUUAUCCUCAACGUGCAGGUACACAAACAAUCAAUGCCUGCCAAGUCCCGGUUCGCUUUUUAAUUAGGCCUGCUUUCAAAUGUAUUACAUCUGAAAUACGCUGUGUUCCUCUCCAUGUCCAACAACCAGCAUGUGGCGAGAUUACAACGCAACACUCGCAGUGCAGCGCAUCCGUCUGCACGCCAAAGCAGGGGCUCAUUGCCCGGUGUCAUCGGUGGUCGAGCACCUUCUCCGACUGCACGCUGUCCACUCCUGUCCUAAAGGAGACAAAUGACAGGCACCUCCAGGGGAAUUUAGCUACACAUCUCUCCUUGGUUCCAGUGGAUAAAGAGGCCCAUGCUCAGAAAUCACAUCCAGGCAGUCCAAGUAAUAAGCUGGUGAAUGGAAACAGCCUGAGAACAUGUGGACAGGGUGAGGCAGGCGAUCCCUUUCAUGUGUUUAUACUCUAGGCCAAGGAGCAGGACACGGGGUAAGUCUGAACCGUCUUUCCCCGGGCUAAGGGUUUUUGUUCGACAUAGAUCGGCUCCACUUUGUUUACCGUUUCCCUGAUUUUCUAUUUAGUUUCCUCUCUGCACAGCUGCGGGGCUAAACACGUGUUUGUGUGGAGGAGCUCAGUGUGAUGCUGGAGGUCCCUUGGUUUGGAGAUGAGGCUUUUGACUGAUGGACAGGCUCCCCUCUGGCCAUGGUCCUGCUCUCUGCCUGCUCACUUACACUUCUGAGUUUGGGAAAGCUACUCGGGAAGGGCAGAAAAUGAGGAGAUGCUUUGAUUUAGUCUUUUUUCAGACUUAUGUGUAUCCAUUCAUUCUGUGGUACCUACAUGUACAACACUGAAGAACUAAGAAUGGUAAAUAUCUCUGCUACAGUAUCUUACAACAACAGCAUGAUGCAGUCUGUAUGGAAGUGACACUUUCUUCAGCAUAUACUUUUCUCACAUAAUAGCGCAACAUUGGACUAUCCAAAUAAAGUGUCAUGUGUAACACUGCUCUACA
rnacentral:lncRNA from 1 species